GGCCUGUUGGUCUAGGGAUAUGAUUCUUGCUUUGGGGGCGAGAUGUCCCGGGUUCAAGUCCGUGACAAGCCC